rnacentral:lncRNA from 1 species
UUCGGAAAUUGAUACCGCUUCCCCUAGUUCUAUCUUUUAUCUCCCCGGACCACGUCCGACUAUGUCACCCCGACCUACAAUCACUCCACCUCACGGCGUGGUUGCUCCAUGGUUGAACCAGGCAGAGCGACAAUGCUCGCACUCUGUCCAGCAGAUUCUGCUGGGCAGUAGGAAGCCUUCGACACAGACCACGUACUUGGCCAAGUGGAAGCGGUUCUCCUGUUGGUGCGAACAACGAGCCAAGUCCCCGUUACAGGCACCUAUUCCUCUCAUAUUGGAAUAUCUCCUAUCCCUAAAACAGCAGGGCUUGGCGAUAUCUUCAAUUAGGGUUCACCUGGCCGCUAUAUCGGCCUUCCACCCAGGAGAACUCGCGUCCUCGGUAUUCUCUAACCCGAUGGUCGUUAGAUUCCUCAAGGGCUUAGACCGGAUGUACCCACAACAACGUCAGCCCGUUCCGAUGUGGGAUCUCAACCUGGUUCUCUCCAAGCUCACAGGGCCUCCAUUCGAGCCACUGGCCACCUGUUCACUCCUGUACCUAUCCUGGAAGACAGCCUUCCUCGUAGCCAUCACCUCAGCAAGGCGCGUUUCUGAACUCACGGCGCUUACAUCCGAGCCCCCAUACACGAUUUUCCAUAAGGACAAAGUGCAGCUUCGUCCACAUCCUGCCUUUCUUCCUAAGGUGGUCUCACCGUUUCACAUGAAUCAGGAUAUAUUUCUCCCAGUCUUCCAUCCUAAACCACAUGCUACUCGCCAAGACCAGCGUUUGCAUUCUUUGGACGUACGCAGGGCCCUGGCUUUCUAUAUUGACCGCACAAAGCAGUUUAGAAAGACGACACAACUCUUCGUUGCAGUGGCCGACCGGAUGAAAGGCUCACCGGUCUCCUCACAAUGCCUGUCCUCCUGGAUCACGUCUUGCAUCCGGACUUGCUAUGACCUGGCCGGUGUCUCGACGCCGCACCUCACCACUCACUCAACGAGGGCCCAAGCUUCCUCGACUGCCUUCCUGGCUCAAGUUCCAAUCCAGGACAUUUGUAGAACUGCAGUUUGGUCAUCAGUCCACACAUUUGCAGCUCACUACGCACUGGUACAGCAGUCCAGGGACGAUGCUGCAUUCGGAUCAGCGGUUUUGCUCACAGCAAUGUCUCACUCUGACCCCACCACCUAGGUAAGGCUUGGG